rnacentral:rRNA from 1 species
GCAACGCGAAGAACCUUACCAGGCCUUGACAUGCAGAGAACUUCCAGAGAUGGAUUGUGCCUUCGGGAACUCUGACACAGGUGCUGCAUGGCUGUCGUCAGCUCGUGUCGUGAGAUGUUGGGUUAAGUCCCGUAACGAGCGCAACCCUUGCCCUUAGUUACCAGCACGUUAUGGUGGGCACUCUAAAGGGACUGCCGGUGUUAAACCGGAGGAAGGUGGGGAUGACGUCAAGUCCUCAUGGCCUUUAUGACCAGGGCUACACACGUACUACAAUGGCCGAUACAAAGGGCAGCGACACUGCGAGGUGAAGCCAAUCCCGUAAAAUCGGUCUCAGUCCGGAUUGGAGUCUGCAACUCGACUCCAUGAAGUUGGAAUCGCUAGUAAUCGUGGAUCAGCAUGCCACGGUGAAUACGUUCCCGGGCCUU